rnacentral:rRNA from 1 species
GAGUUUGAUCCUGGCUCAGGACGAACGCUGGCGGCGUGCUUAACACAUGCAAGUCGAACGAAUGAACUUCAACGGAUUUCCNUCGGAAUGAAACUGAAAUGAUUUAGUGGCGAACGGGUGAGUAACACGUGGGAAACCUGCCUAUCACAAAGGGAUAGCCUCCGGAAACGGUGAUUAAUACCUUAUGACAUCAUAGUAUCGCAUGAUACCUUGAUUAAAGAUUUAUCGGUGAUAGAUGGUCCUGCGGCUGAUUAGCUAGUUGGUAGGAUAACAGCCUACCAAGGCAACGAUCAGUAACCGGCCUGAGAGGGUGAACGGUCACACUGGAACUGAGACACGGUCCAGACUCCUACGGGAGGCAGCAGUGGGGAAUUUUGCACAAUGGGGGAAACCCUGAUGCAGCGACGUCGCGUGAACGAUGAAGGCCUUCGGGUUGUAAAGUUCUGUCCUUGGCGAAGAUAAUGACAGUAGCCAAGAAGCAAGCUCCGGCUAAAUACGUGCCAGCAGCCGCGGUAAUACGUAUGGAGCGAGCGUUGUCCGGAAUUAUUGGGCGUAAAGGGUACGUAGGCGGUUUUGUGGGUCUACAUUAAAAGGCAUUGGCUCAACCAAUGUUCGGUGUAGAAACUAUAAAACUUGAGUAGAUGAGGGGUAAGUGGAAUUCCUAGUGUAGCGGUGAAAUGCUUAGAUAUUAGGAGGAAUACCAGUGGCGAAGGCGACUUACUGGAAUCUAACUGACGCUGAGGUACGAAAGCGUGGGGAGCAAACAGGAUUAGAUACCCUGGUAGUCCACGCUGUAAACGAUGAGUGCUAGGUGUCGGGAGUCAAAUCUCGGCGCCGCCGCUAACGCAUUAAGCACUCCGCCUGGGGAGUACGUACGCAAGUAUGAAACUCAAAGGAAUUGACGGGGACCCGCACAAGCAGCGGAGCAUGUGGUUUAAUUCGAAGCAACGCGAAGAACCUUACCAGGGCUUGACAUAUACAUGAAAGUGCUAGAGAUAGCAUCCUCUCUUCGGAGACGUGUAUACAGGUGGUGCAUGGUUGUCGUCAGCUCGUGUCGUGAGAUGUUGGGUUAAGUCCCGUAACGAGCGCAACCCCUAUUUCUAGUUACCAUCAGUUCGGCUGGGGACUCUAGAGAGACUGCCGGUGAUAAACCGGAGGAAGGUGGGGAUGACGUCAAAUCAUCAUGCCCUUUAUGUCCUGGGCUACACACGUGCUACAAUGGUCUGAACAAAGUGCAGCGAGCUCGCGAGAGUCAGCGAAUCACAGAAAACAGAUCUCAGUUCGGAUUGUAGGCUGCAACUCGCCUACAUGAAGCCGGAGUUGCUAGUAAUCGUGAAUCAGAAUGUCACGGUGAAUGCGUUCCCGGGUUCUUGUACACACCGCCCGUCAAGGGCGAUUCGCGCCGCUAAUUCAUCGCCCUAUAGGAGUCAUCAGUGGGCC